ensembl:miRNA
UCCAGCCAUUGUGACUGCAUGUUCCCAGGUUGAGGUAGUAGGUUGUAUAGUUUAGAAUUACAUCAAGGGAGAUAACUGUACAACCUCCUAGCUUUCCUUGGGUCUUGCACAAAGCAACAUGCCAAGAACGAUCAUGAUUCCUCCAGGCCU